rnacentral:rRNA from 1 species
GACGAACGCUGGCGGCGUGCUUAACACAUGCAAGUGGAGCGACGAACCAGGGCUUGCCCUGGGGCAGAGCCGCGAACGGGUGAGAACACGUGGGUAACCUGCCCCGAUGACCGGGACAACCCGAGGAAACUCGGGCUAAUACCGGAUGUUCUCGUUUCUCGUAAGGGAAUCGAGCAAAGAUAGCUUUUAGCCUUCGCAUCGGGAGGGGCCCGCGGCCCAUUAGCUUGUUGGUGAGGUAACGGCUCACCAAGGCUGCGAUGGGUAGCUGGUCUGAGAGGACGAUCAGCCACACUGGGACUGAGACACGGCCCAGACUCCUACGGGAGGCAGCAGUGGGGAAUCUUGCGCAAUGCGCGAAAGCGUGACGCAGCAACGCCGCGUGGGGGAAGAAGGCCUUCGGGUUGUAAACCCCUUUCAGAUGGGACGAAGCUUCGAGGGUUAAUAGCCCUCUGGAGUGACGGUACCUUCAGAAGAAGCCCCGGCUAACUACGUGCCAGCCGCCGCCGUAACAC